CCACCCCUUCCUCCAGGGCCUGCUCUGACUAUCCCGCGGGCCGGGAUAGUUUUUAUUACAGAAAUCCCUUUUAUUAGCGAUCUGUUUGGUUACAUGAUAUAUAAAUGCCUGACUUUGACAGCCUAUCUGCAACACCAUCUUAUAGGAUAAAACACAACUGUUUAAUUAGAAGUCCUAUUCCCAGGAAGGGAAAACUGGUUAAAUGGGAUCCUCUGACAUUCAGGUAAUUUUCCAAAUUACCUUGGGUUUGAGGAAACUGUUCCUCACUUGAACAUACCACUCCGUUGGCAUUCUGCUGUUAUUAUAAUACUGCCUUUGUCACUCGUCGCUAAGCUGGUCAGACAAAUAAUUCGAAGAAGUGGGGGUGCCAGGUGCAGUGGCUCACACCUGUAACCCCAGAACUUUGGGAGGCCAAGCCAGGCAGAUUGCUUGAGCCCAGAAUUUCA